CUGCUGUUAACACGAAAUCUAACGCUGUCAGGAUAAUUGGAAACAUGCUGAAUUAUAUAAAUGAAGAUUUACUUUCAGUCCAAGAAUAUCAGAAUUAUGAAACUGUUUAGAAAUUUGGUAAAGAUUUGGAAUUAUGAAACCAUAUGGUAAUUUGAAAAUUAUUUUUAAAAAUGUCUCCUGAACGAAAAAUGUAUUUUAAAGU